UGGGGAAUAUUGCACAAUGGGCGCAAGCCUGAUGCAACAACGCCGCGUGAGGGACGACGGCCUUCGGGUUGUAAACCUCUUUUAGUAGGGAAGAAGCGAAAGUGACGGUACCUGCAGAAAAAGCACCGGCUAACUACGUGCCAGCAGCCGCGGUAAUACGUAGGGUGCGAGCGUUGUCCGGAAUUAUUGGGCGUAAAGAGCUCGUAGGCGGUCUGUCGCGUCUGCUGUGAAAACCCGAGGCUCAACCUCGGGCCUGCAGUGGGUACGGGCAGACUAGAGUGCGGUAGGGGAGAAUGGAAUUCCUGGUGUAGCGGUGGAAUGCGCAGAUAUCAGGAGGAACACCGAUGGCGAAGGCAGUUCUCUGGGCCGUAACUGACGCUGAGGAGCGAAAGCGUGGGGAGCGAACAGGAUUAGAUACCCUGGUAGUCCACGCCGUAAACGUUGGGCGCUAGAUGUGGGGACCAUUCCACGGUUUCCGUGUCGCAGCUAACGCAUUAAGCGCCCCGCCUGGGGAGUACGGCCGCAAGGCUAAAACUUAAAGGAAUUGACGGGGUCAUAGCUGUUUCCU
rnacentral:rRNA from 1 species